rnacentral:lncRNA from 1 species
GGCAAUUUAAAAGUUAACUUCGAAUGUUUGGCUGAAUGAAUGAAGCCGAAGGGGACCGGGACUUGAGCCACUAUUGUCAAUGUAUAAACGCUAAGAUUAUACAAACAACUGGGACUAACCAUUUUCAAGCUUUCGCGAACAAAGAAAGUUAGAGGAGUGGGGCGAAAUGUUAGAUUAAAAACUCUCCUUCCAUGAAAAAGAAAAUAUUAAUUAUAAGAAAAGCGGGAUGAAAAUUGAGUUGAUCGGUGCGAAAAACGGGAUUCGUGAAGUUCUAUUCACUUCCGAUCCCUCUUUAAACUAUUCUUCAGGGAGUGAACAAAGAAAAUUCGAGUUCAUUAUCUGAGAAAAUGACUUAUAGAAAAGGUAUUAAGAGCUGGUCGAUUGUUUUAAUUUUUCAACCACUUGCUUCCUCUGAUUUUAGGUACUCAAGCGCUCUUGUCGAAAGGUUUCACGGAGAUUCCUACUACUGGGUAUGGACGAAUAAUCGGGCUUUCAGAUAGAAAUACAGGGAUAAUGCUGGAGAAAGAACAUCGGAUUGGAUCCAAUCCACCUGCAGUCCUUACUCAACGAGCCACAAGCAACUCUUGCAUUAGGCUGUCAAGCUGCAGUCACCUGGCUGAGAAUCGAACCCGUGACCUCCUUAUAACAAAUUCACCGUUGACAUACACUGCACCAUAAGAGGCCGACUGGUGUAGUAGAGUGGUUGAGCAUACAAGCUUAAAAUGCACGAUACAUUAUACUGCGGAGGAAAUUUUAUGGAGAGUGAAAAAUUAUACUAACGAUUAGCGUAUACAAAUACAAAAUAUGUUAAUUAAUUAAUAUUAAUAUUUGUAUCAUCAUAAUCAAUUUUAUUAUGAAAUUUUACAUUUUUUCUUUAUCUACUGUUUAUAUCACUCUCUCUUUACCCCUCCCCCCUAUACUCAUAAGGAUAAGAGGGAGGAUCAUGCAUCGAGGAGGAGCGUAUACGAAUAAAAAUUAGGACAUAUUUGUAUCAUAAUCAAUUUUACUAUGAAAUUGUACGUUUCUUCUCUACUGU